rnacentral:rRNA from 1 species
AUUGAACGAUGGCGGCAGGCCUAACACAUGCAAGUCGAGCGAGCGGCGGACGGGUGAGUAAUGUAUGGGGACUGCCCGAUAGAGGGUGGUAACUACUGGAAACGGUGGCUAAUACCGCAUACUAUCGGAUAACCCAUAGGGGAUGCGCUAGUAGGUGGGGUAAAGGCUCACCUAGGCGACGAUAUCUAGCUGGUCUGAGAGGAUGAUCAGCCAAACUGCGACUGAGACACGGACCAGACGCCAAGGGAGGCAGCAGUGGGGAACAGUGCACAAUGGGCGCAAGCCUGAUGCAGCCAUGCCGCGUGGAUGAAGAAGGCCUUAGGGUGGUAAAGUACUUUCAGCGGGGAGGCGUUACCCGCAGAAGAAGCACCGGCUAACUCCGUGCCAGCAGCCGCGGUAAUUC